rnacentral:rRNA from 1 species
UACGAAGGGGGCUAGCGUUGCUCGGAAUUACUGGGCGUAAAGCGCACGUAGGCGGCUUUCUAAGUCGGGGGUGAAAUCCUGGAGCUCAACUCCAGAACUGCCUUCGAUACUGGAGAGCUUGAGUCCGGGAGAGGUGAGUGGAACUGCGAGUGUAGAGGUGAAAUUCGUAGAUAUUCGCAAGAACACCAGUGGCGAAGGCGAUCAUCUGGGGUUGUUCUGACACUGAGGAGCGAAAGCUAGGGGAGCAAACGGG